AGUUUGAUCCUGGCUCAGGAUGAACGCUGGCGGCGUGCUUAACACAUGCAAGUCGAACGGAGCUUUUUUGAAGGAGACUUCGGUCAACGGAAGCUAAAGCUUAGUGGCGGACGGGUGAGUAACGCGUGAGUAACCUGCCUUUCAGAGGGGGAUAACACCCGGAAACGGAUGCUAAUACCGCAUAAACAGCAGCACCGCAUGAUGCAACUGUCAAAGAUUUUAUCGCUGAAAGAUGGACUCGCGUCCGAUUAGGUAGUUGGUGAGGUAACGGCCCACCAAGCCGACGAUCGGUAGCCGGACUGAGAGGUUGAACGGCCACAUUGGGACUGAGACACGGCCCAGACUCCUACGGGAGGCAGCAGUGGGGAAUAUUGCACAAUGGGCGCAAGCCUGAUGCCAGCAACGCCGCGUGAGGGAAGACGGUUUUCGGAUUGUAAACCUCUGUUCUUAGUGACGAAGAAGUGACGGUAGCUAAGGAGCAAGCCACGGCUAACUACGUGCCAGCCGCUGC
rnacentral:rRNA from 1 species